CUUUCCGAGGUCCUCUGCCGCGUGUUUGGAAGUUAUGGCCGCGCGGGUCUGUGGUGUUCUCCCUGAAAGGCCUAAGCUUUGGGUGAUGGCAUUGCCUUUUGGCACUCGGGAGACAAGAUGCAGGUUCCGUCUCAGAAGUAAUGGCUGGAUCCCUGAAAGCCAACGGGCUCGGUGUGGUCCACCCGUCAGAAGGCAUAGGUAGAUGGUGGGCAUCUGCCUCAGACAUAGUUCUCAAGUUCAGCCAGAAGAAUGCGCGUUGAGCCCUCUGCAGCCCGUGUCGACGGAGGUGUUGUCUCCAGGAAGCAUCAUGGAAAGGCGUGGUGGUGCACAAGGGCCUUCAGGAUGCCUGCGCCUGGUGACGGCUGCGCCUCAGGUUCUGGGCCUGACUCGGAAGGGUGCCUGUGAGCAGAAGAGCUGGCACGCGCAGCUCAGUGGACCAUCAGUGCCAACCCGUCCUGUACCCUGGCUGAGGGGUGUGCUAAGUGGCAGGCAAGUUUCAGCAGGAUUUUUUCGUUUCUUCGCUAGGUUUGUAGCUCUCUUGUGACAGACAAGCGAUUGUCACUGGUUGAGCUGAGGAUGAUUUAAGUUAUCCCUGUCUGAAAUGACACUUUCUGAAGAGUCAUGGUUUACUGAGGCUCGACUUUUAAGACCUAUUUUGAGAAUGUCCACAGUAAGAUUGCUUCUGUUAGAGUGAGGUGUGUUGUCUUCGUUACUCAGAUUCCCGGUUGGCUCAUCGUAAGGCGUGGCACAAAAUCACCAUCGAAAGAAAGGGCCUUCGGGAUGCCUCUAUCUGGUUAUUGCCCUGUAGUGCCAGAGAGAACCACAUAGCCUGCUGCUGCUCCUGCCUUUAAUUUCCCAAAGAGUCAUCAGACGACCUUGGAGUUUGUUCUGCAAGAGGAGCCAGUAAGGCCUCGUGACUGUGGUCACCCUCGGAAGCCUUUGACAGCUAGCUGGUGAGGGCGCUCAGUCGGAGGCCCUGGGGAGGCCCCUGCUAAGCCGAGAAAAGCAUUUCUCACAGUGGAUUUCCUGGAAGUCAGGGUUGGCCUUUGUAUUUUGAAGCACAAAUAAACUUUAUAAAAUUUA
rnacentral:lncRNA from 7 species